rnacentral:lncRNA from 1 species
AGUGGGUAAUAUACAUAACACUUAACUGUAUAUGCAUUGAUAUUUUGCAGUUGGAGAGAGCAGAGGUUCACCUGGAAGGGAUAGAUACAAUUUUAAAAUUGUAUCUGGCGAGCAAGAAUUUCUUACUUCCAUCUGUGCAGUAAGCGAUGUUUUGUGGAUGGCAAAGACUUAUUCCUGAAGGAAUCGAUAUAGGGUAAAACGUUAGCAUAUUUUUUUCUUAACUAAGGAAGCUAUGGCAACAGAAUGUUGUUCUGUAACAGUUAGAAGUCUGGCAGUGUCCCGAGUCAAAUUCUUUAUCUUUAUUUGAAAGGGAACCUCUUACUGAUUGUUUAAAGGAUGUUGAUUUGAUCCCACCUUUUAAUCGGAUGCUGCUGGAAGUCACCUUUGGCAAGCUGUAUGCUUGGACUGUUCAGAACAUUCAAAAUGUUCUGAUGGAUGCCAGUGCCAAAUUUAAAGAGCUUGGUAUCCAGCCGGUUCCCCUGCAGACCAUCACCAGUGAGAACCCACUGGGACCGAGCCUGGGGAGCAUCCCGCAAGCCCGCUUCCUCCUGAUGAUGCUCAGCAUGCUCACCCUGCAGCACAGCGCAAACAACCUCGACCUCCUGCUCAAUUCCGGCACGCUGGCCCUCACUCAGACGGCACUGCGCCUGAUUGGUAGGUCUGCACCGGCUUGAGAGCCUUUGGGAAAACAUCAAGAUUUUGCUUUGAUUUCUUUUUUUUUUUUUAAAGCUUUUUGUAAAUUAUGGUAAGACACAAAUAGCAGAAAGUGUAGCAUUUUAAUGUCACAAUUCAGCGGUAUUAAAUACAUUCACAGUUUUCUAGAGUCAUCACCACUGUCUAGUUGUAGAACUUUUUCAUCACUAUAAAUGCACCCCAUUUAGCCAUCAGUCCUGACUCCCCUGCUCUCCAGCCCCUGGUAGUCAC